UAUAAUCGCACAGAAAUAUUAUGGCCUACAUUGGAAUGUAGAUAUGACAUUCUACAUGAUAGUACAAAUGAAAAGAAGCUCCAUUUUGAAAUAGAUUUCGCAACAUCGCUAGUUUCAGAAGUAAUAUUUAGAUUAGGAUCAUUGGGAAAUUCAAACUCCUGUAACAUACAUGAUUCUGGACUAAAGUACAAACCUCGGACAUUUAAUAUUUUGGAAGAAUAUAGCAAAUAUAAAGACACCAA